rnacentral:rRNA from 1 species
UAAUACGUAGGUGGCAAGCGUUAUCCGGAAUUACUGGGCGUAAAGCGCACGCAGGCGGCUUGACAAGUUCGACGUGAAAGCUCCCGGCUUAACUGGGAGAGGUCGUUGAAAACUGUCAGGCUUGAGGCAAUGAGAGGGGUGUAGAAUUCCCGGUGUAGUGGUGGAAUGCGUAGAUAUCGGGGGGAAUACCAGUGGCGAAAGCGGCACCCUAGCGUUAGCCUGACGCUCAUGUGCGAAAGCGUGGGGAGCGAACGGGAUUAGAUACCCCGGUAGUCCACGCUGUAAACGAUGAACACUAGGUGUAGGUGGUGUGAAAGCUAUCUGUGCCGAAGCCAACGCGUUAAGUGUUCCGCCUGGGGAGUACGGCCGCAAGGCUA